rnacentral:rRNA from 1 species
GUAGGGAAUAUUGCGCAAUGGACGAAAGUCUGACGCAGCGACGCCGCGUGAGUGAUGAAGGCCUUAGGGUCGUAAAGCUCUGUUGAAUGGGAAGAAAAAAAUGACGGUACCAUUCGAGGAAGGACCGGCUAACUUCGUGCCAGCAGCCGCGGUAAUACGAGGGGUCCUAGCGUUGUUCGGAAUCAUUGGGCGUAAAGGUGUGUAGGUGGCCAUGUAAGUCAGGUGUGAAAGCCCCGGGCUCAACCCGGGAAGUGCACUUGAUACUGCGUGGCUUGAGUACCGAAGAGGGUAGUGGAAUUCCAGGUGUAGUGGUGAAAUACGUAGAUAUCUGGAGGAACACCGGUGGCGAAGGCGGCUACCUGGUCGAGUACUGACACUGAGACACGAAAGCAUGGGGAUCAAACAGGAUUAAAAACCCGGGUAGUCC